rnacentral:lncRNA from 1 species
GCAAAACGCCAUCCAGCCGACUUUCAAAGAACCCUUAAGUUCCCACUUCAAUACCCUUUUGCCCAAACAGCUUUUCUUGCAAAUGAUGGUUGCAGUGAGUCAUUGGUCUGGUUUGAGGCCUCUGGCUUCUCCAGAAGAGGGCAUCAUGUCCCCUGAGACUGGAGGUACAUGUGGUGACCUGCCAUGUGGGUCCUGGGAAUUGAACCCCGGUCCUCUAAAAGAACAACCAGUGCUCUUAACUGCCUAGUAUUUUUGUUUUGUUUUUUAAUAUUCUAAUAUUUUCUGACCUAUAGAUACUGAGACAAAUUACUUUGACCAUAAUAACAGUGAGAUACCCAGUAAGAAUUGGGGGCUAUAACAAUUGUCAUUUCAAAAUAAAAAACCGGAGAGGUAGUUUCUGUCUACGAGAGAUGUGUCAUCUCAGCUUUUCUCUUUCGUUUAGAUAGGGCAUCAUGGAGCCCAUGCUGCUCUCAGACUCUGUGUGUAGUUGAGGCUGCCCUUGGACUAAGUUAUGACAGGGUUAUACCCCACGGGACCUGUCACUUAAUACACCU